AUUGAACGCUGGCGGCAUGCCUUACACAUGCAAGUCGAACGGUAACGCGGGGCAACCUGGCGACGAGUGGCGAACGGGUGAGUAAUGUAUCGGAACGUGCCCAGUUGUGGGGGAUAACUGCUCGAAAGAGCAGCUAAUACCGCAUACGACCUGAGGGUGAAAGCGGGGGAUCGCACGACCUCGCGCAAUUGGACCGGCGGAUAUCAGAUUAUGUAGUUGGUGAGGUAAAGGCUCACCAGGCCGACGAUCUGUAGCUGGUCUGAGAGGACGACCGGCCGCACUUGGAAUGAGACACGGCGCAGACUCCUACGGGAGGCAGCAGUGGGGAAUUUUGGACAAUGGACGCAAGUCUGAUCCAGCCAUGCCGCGUGCGGGAAGAAGGCCUUCGGGUUGUAAACCGCUUUUGUCAGGGAAGAAACGCUCUGGGUUAAUACCCCGGGGUAAUGACGGUACCUGAAGAAUAAGCACCGGCUAACUACGUGCCAGCAGCCGCCGUAAAAC
rnacentral:rRNA from 1 species